GGCCAUCCUCUUGCUUUGACAGUUGAUGGUGCACAAGUGUUCCCACAGAGAGUACCCCAUUAGUGAUCCAUGGCACGGACUUCAACUCCAAAGCUUUGAGAUACUGGAGCACAGCCCACGGGUUGGGAGGGAAUAGCUGCAGCUUGGCUUCUCCUCUCUGACCACCAGCCAGCUCCCUAUCUCAGGAUGGAUCCAACAGGAGCACAGGAGCUCACAUCCAAGAAGCCCCGGUGCUCUGCCAGGGCCACACAGAUGCCUUAUCCAGCCUGGGAAUGGGAGUACUGCCAUGAAACUUGACAGAGUAAGCAUUAAUACCAACAAAUAGCUGAAAUAGGUGGUUUCUGAACAGCUGAGCUAGAAAAUGAUGUCCUGUGAACCAUCCAGCUGUGAUGCAGGGACAGAAGUGAAAAAAAUUGAUUUAGGAGGUUAACUGUGAGCAGAGGAGGAGCCCAGUGUCAGUGGUGCAGGAAAGACACAAGAAACAAACAAACCCCACAGGAAAAUCCAACUUAAACACCCACAGAAGACAUGCAAAUGCAUACAUUUGCUCAAUGAGGGGGCCUCUGGAUUGUUCCUAAUGAACUCUAAUGCGAAGAGGAAAUUAAAGGACUCUGUUUUGCGCUCUGCCUGUGCUGUGCUGUGUGCUGACGGGAGGCGGACUGCACCAAAGAGGAACGUUCCUGCUCCCAGCCUGACAAAUGGGACUCGUCAGGGAUUUGUUUUGUCAGAAUACUCUUGUUUGUUAAGCAAAGCAAACAACUCAUCCAACCUAACUCAAACUUGAAGCAGAAGAGGAGCCUGGAUUAACUUCUUGAGUGAGUGGUUUUGGUUUUGCUUUCUGAAAGGGGCUUCCAAGGUGGCCCCAUCUGAGACCAUUUCUUCUUUUGAAAUAGAAACGUCCGGUUUGCUAGGCCAUAAUACUUUUCAGUUUGAAUUGUAAGCAAAGUGUAGCAUGAAUGGGGCUUCUCUGCAGAAGGUUUGGGAGAAUUGAAACCAAAUGUUUAAACACUAUCUGUCCCAACCCCUUGGCUUGCCUGAGCUCCAACGGCUGUUGUUCUUUUCAACUCUAAACGAUAUUGAAACUCUGAUGUUUAUCCCUACAUGACUUGGGAAUUGUUUACAACUUUUAGGCAUUUUUCAGGAACUCCAACCUGUUUCUCAUGUAUAUUUAUGCUGGCAGCUGCUGUCUAAAGGACAGCUUCAGCUCCUCAAAAAGUAGAAGCAUAUGAUGAUUUUCUCUUGAGGAAAGCUGGUAAAAUACGGAGUGUCAAACCAGGAUGAAUUCACCCAGCCAAUUUAGCUGGCUGGGCAGUGGUUGUGUCCAGGCAGGCUCCUUUGCAGCAUUUCCCUCUGGAAUGCCAAUGCUAAGGGUCCAAUAUACACCAAGACCUCCGCGCUCUCCCUGUGAGCUCCCCGGCUUUGGGGUGUGCUGUGUCUAACAGGGGUUUAGGUGGUUGAAACGUGAAAUUCCGACUUCAGAUGGACAUUCCUGCACUGCCUGGAAAACAAGCCAUGGAUUCUGAUUGAUGGAGGAAGGAUCCACACUGGGAUCAGGUGCUGUGGCCAGGGUUGGGCUCCAACAGGAGACUGGGCAACCCUUCCGUUGAUAAGCAGGCAGUGAAAGUCCAGAUGGGAUCCUGAUGGCAGAUGGGAUGAGGUGUAUGUGCAUUCCUAUGCCAGCAGCAUCUUCCAGACACCUCUUACAUGAGCGUCUGCUCUGGAUGACACAGCUUGUGCCAGCCGGGGUAACUGCAGACCAGGCAGAGCUCAUAGGGCACCUCUUACUCACCAAAACAUACAGGGGCAAUAUCCAGUUUAUACAGGCAGAGCUGGCCAUGCUCUGAGCCCUGAGCAUCUCAUGCAGGCAGCCAUGCAUAUAGUUUCUUCAUUUAACCUUAAAUCUUCUCAUUGUGGAAAAUGGAGGAGUUUGGGCUCAGGUCAGCGCUGGGUUUGAGUUCCAGGGAACUACAGUGAGGGUUGUUUUAGAUCAUGGUAUACUGAUGUCAUGGUCUAUAUCUUUAUAAUUCCUAUGGCAGGCGGUAGAGAUGUGUCUGUAGGGUUGAAUAUGCCCCUGGAUCUUUGGACUGUGGCUUCACUUGGAACAGCAGACCCCAUCUGAGCUUAAUCAGAGCCAAAAAAUCACCUCUUGUUCAGAAGAGCUGAUUUAAACCACCAGGAGGAGAUGGCUGCUGGCAAUCCAGCAAAUCCUGUGAUGCUGCUGAAUUGAUGAAGUGCUUGGAGGGCAAAGCACACACUCUUCUGCACCCCCUGAAUGCAUGGGUCCCAGGAAGCUGCUGAGGCACCGGGAGAGCCCUGGAUUGCUGCAGACAGGCAGCGUGCAGGGAGGCAGGUAAUUAGGAUCAUGAUAGAUUCAUAGGAUGUGUUCAGCUGCUUUCCUCUGCUCUUAAACUUGUCCUUCUCAGGAGGAUUUUUUCACUCCAUUGCCAUUUCUUCUGUGCCCAGGUCUCCAGCAGUGAGCAGUAUAGAAAAUCUAUUGAUUCUGUUCCAUAAGCCCUGUACAAGGGAAGGUAAGUGCUCCCCAGCCAGCACCUCUCAGUCAUUUCCUUUAGAUGUUGCUCACAUGCCCUAAAUCACAGCUGUUGGUGAAAGAACAAAAGAAAUGAGCUGGAGAAACUAUGGCUGAGCAGGUCUAAUCCUGUCUACAACAUCACCAUUGCCCCAGUGUUAAUGGAGGAACUCACAGAGGCCCGAUGCUGGGAAGAAGGGGCUUCCUUUACUGUCACUGUUCUGAGUUGCAGGAGAGGAAGCUGCAAAGAAGUUUGGCAAGGGAGAUGUACUUGUGGAGGAUAAGCUGCGUUUGAAGUCUCUCUGCUGUGCUGAGGACCUCAGGUAACACUCACACCAGUGAAUUUGGCCUCCAGAAGUUACACAGUCAUCUUGAU